UAGGGAAUCUUCCGCAAUGGGCGAAAGCCUGACGGAGCAACGCCGCGUGAGUGAUGAAGGUCUUCGGAUCGUAAAACUCUGUUAUUAGGGAAGAACAAAUGUGUAAGUAACUAUGCACGUCUUGACGGUACCUAAUCAGAAAGCCACGGCUAACUACGUGCCAGCAGCCGCGGUAAUACGUAGGUGGCAAGCGUUAUCCGGAAUUAUUGGGCGUAAAGCGCGCGUAGGCGGUUUUUUAAGUCUGAUGUAAAAGCCCACGGCUCAACCGUGGAAGGUCAUUGGAAACUGGAAAACUUGAGUGCAGAAGAGGAAAGUGGAAUUCCAUGUGUAGCGGUGAAAUGCGCAGAGAUAUGGAGGAACACCAGUGGCGAAGGCGACUUUCUGGUCUGUAACUGACGCUGAUGUGCGAAAGCGUGGGGAUCAAACAGG
rnacentral:rRNA from 1 species